UACGUAGGUGGCAAGCGUUGUCCGGAUUUACUGGGCGUAAAGAGCGCGCAGGCGGUCUUUUAAGUCGGAUGUGAAAGCCCCCGGCUUAACUGGGGAGGGUCAUUCGAUACUGAUCGACUUGAAGGCAGGAGAGGGAAGCAGAAUUCCAGGUGUAGCGGUGAAAUGCGUAGAUAUCUGGAGGAAUACCGGUGGCGAAGGCGGCAUCCUGGACCGAGAUUGACACUGAUGAGCGAAAGCUAGGGGAGCAAACGGG
rnacentral:rRNA from 1 species